UACUGUUGAGGACCUGCCUUGUGUGCAGCUCUAGUCUCCAUGGAACCCUAAGGUUGGGCUCCUGCCCUCAAGAUCAUUGUGAAGAUUCAAGGAGGUACUGCAUGGCGAUGCCUGGCAUUCCACAAGUGCUCGGUUCCCGCGAGGCAGACUGAGACUUGAGAAUUCUUGUAUUGUGUUAUCGUGGGGAUCCUGGAACCAAACUCUCAUGGAUACUGAGGCUGUGAGAUCCUUCCAGAUAGGCCAGAACUGUACUCAGAUGUAAGAACCUGGCUCAA